UACAGAGGGUGCGAGCGUUAAUCGGAAUUACUGGGCGUAAAGGGCGCGUAGGCGGUCAGCACAAGUCAAUUGUGAAAUCUCCGAGCUUAACUCGGAAAGGUCAACUGAAACUGUGCGACUAGAGUGCGGAAGGGGCAACUGGAAUUCUUGGUGUAGCGGUGAAAUGCGUAGAUAUCAAGAGGAACACCUGCGGCGAAGGCGGGUUGCUGGGCCGACACUGACGCUGAAGCGCGAAAGCCAGGGGAGCGAACGGG
rnacentral:rRNA from 1 species